rnacentral:rRNA from 1 species
UACAGAGGUGGCAAGCGUUGUUCGGAAUUACUGGGCGUAAAGGGCUCGUAGGCGGCCAACUAAGUCGGAUGUGAAAUCCCCAGGCUUAACUUGGGAACUGCAUCCGAUACUGGAUGGCUUGAAUCCGGGAGAGGGAUGCGGAAUUCCAGGUGUAGCGGUGAAAUGCGUAGAUAUCUGGAGGAACACCGGAGGCGAAGGCGGAUUGCUGGGCCGACACUGACGCUGAGGAGCGAAAGCGUGGGGAGCAAACAGG